UACGUAGGGUGCGAGCGUUGCCCGGAUUUAUUGGGCGUAAAGGGCGCGUAGGCGGCCACGCACGUCCGUUGUGAAAUCGCCCGGCUCAACUGGGCGGGGUCAGCGGAUACGGUGUGGCUCGAGCAAGCUAGGGGGCAAUGGAAUUCCCGGUGUAGUGGUGGAAUGCGUAGAUAUCGGGAGGAACACCAGUGGCGAAGGCGGUUGCCUGGAGCUGUGCUGACGCUGAUGCGCGAAAGCGUGGGGAGCGAUCCGG
rnacentral:rRNA from 1 species